rnacentral:rRNA from 13 species
UCAAGCAACUAAGCGCAUACGGUGGAUGCCUAGGCAGUCAGAGGCGAUGAAAGACGUGGAAGCCUGCGAUAAGGUUCGGGGAGCUGGCAAACGAGCUGUGAUCCGGACAUUUCUGAAUGGGGAAACCCACCCGAUCUAGGUCGGGUAUCUUACACUGAAUACAUAGGUGUAAGAGGCGAACCGGGAGAACUGAAACAUCUAACUACCCCGAGGAAAAGAAAUCAA